rnacentral:rRNA from 1 species
AGUCAUAUGCUUGUCUUAAAGAUUAAGCCAUGCAUGUAUCAGUAUAAGCUUCUUGGCGACACUGCGAAUGGCUCAUUAAAACAGUUAUCGUUUAUUUGGCGAUCAAUCGUUACAUGGAUAACAAUGGUAAUUCUACGACUAAUACAUGCAUCAAGGCCCAACUUCGUGGAAGGGCUGUGCUUAUUACGAAUAGGACCAACAUGGGCUUUGCCUAAUGUCUUGUGAAAAAAAAUAAGCGAACGAAUCGCACGACAUCCGUCGGCGAUAAACCACUUAAGUUUCUGACCUAUCAGCUUGCGAUGGUAAAGUAUUGGCUUACCAUGGCAAUGACGGGUGACGGAGAAUUAGGGUUUGAUUCCGGAGAGGGAGCUUGAGAAACGGCUACCACAUCUAAGGAAGGCAGCAGGCGCGCAAAUUACCCAAUCCUGACGUAGGGAGGUAGUGACAAUCAAUAACAAUACAGGGCAUCCAUGUUUUGUAUUUGGAAUGAGUAGUAUUUACAAUUCUUUACGAGUACCUAU